ACGGGAGGCAGCAGUGGGGAAUAUUGCACAAUGGGGGAAACCCUGAUGCAGCGACGCCGCGUGAGUGAAGAAGUAUUUCGGUAUGUAAAGCUCUAUCAGCAGGGAAGAUAAUGACGGUACCUGACUAAGAAGCACCGGCUAAAUACGUGCCAGCAGCCGCGGUAAUACGUAUGGUGCAAGCGUUAUCCGGAUUUACUGGGUGUAAAGGGAGCGUAGACGGCAUGGCAAGUCUGAAGUGAAAGCCUGGGGCUCAACCCCGGAACUGCUUUGGAAACUGUUAAGCUAGAGUGCAGGAGAGGUAAGUGGAAUUCCUAGUGUAGCGGUGAAAUGCGUAGAUAUUAGGAGGAACACCAGUGGCGAAGGCGGCUUGCUGGACGACAACUGACGCUGAGGCGCGAAAGCGUGGGGAGCAAACAGGAUUAGAUACCCUGGUA
rnacentral:rRNA from 1 species